rnacentral:tRNA from 1 species
GAGGGUGUAGCCUGGUAGUAGGGCACAUGCUUAGCAUGCACGAGGUCCUGGGUCCAAUCCCCAGUACUUCCA